GAUGAACGCUAGCGACAGGUUUAACACAUGCAAGUCGAGGGGCAGCGGGGAGUGGCAACACUCUGCCGGCGACCGGCGCACGGGUGCGUAACACGUGUGCAACCUGCCCGUCACCGGGGGAUAACCCGUGGAAACGCGGACUAACACCCCAUGAAACAGUGGAGGAGCAUUCCUUUGUUGUUAAAACCGAGGUGGUGACGGAUGGGCACGCGGGACAUUAGGUAGUUGGCGGGUAACGGCCCCCCAAGCCGACGAUGUCUAGGGGUUCUGAGAGGAAGGUCCCCCACACUGGUACUGAGACACGGACCAGACUCCUACGGGAGGCAGCAGUGAGGAAUAUUGGUCAAUGGGCGAGAGCCUGAACCAGCCAAGUCGCGUGAGGGAUGACGGGUCCAUGGCCUGUAAAACCUCUUUUUGUGAAGGAAGAACCGCGGGGAACGCGUCCCGCC
rnacentral:rRNA from 1 species